CGACCGUGACAGGACUCGAACCUGCAAUCCUCAGAUCCGAAGUCUGAUGCCUUAUCCAUUAGGCCACACGGCC
rnacentral:tRNA from 1 species